rnacentral:lncRNA from 1 species
GCCCACGCCUGAUCUACACUGAUUGAAGUGGAUUUAACAUGUGACAUCAAUAAGGGAUCACUGCUUUCACCUGGUCAGUCUGUCAUGGAAAUGUUUUGUACACUCAGUGUAUACAUGUCUCUGAGAGAACAGUUAGCAGGAGAUGAAGACGAUGUAUUGUACACCAGAGAUUUUAAAGUGCUACUGAACACCAGUUCUGGGUUCAAAGUGGUGGAGGGUGCUGACCUCAUCAUUGAGUGUGCCCAUAACCUGCCGGUGGAACCAAAAAUCCCGCUGGUGUUUGUCUGGCUGAUGGAUGGCGUCUCCCUGACGGGCGAGAACAGUAGCCAGCUCACCGUGAAGAAGGUCGGCAUAGCUACCUCUGGCAAGAAUAAAUACGCCUGCACCAUCCAGAGUCCCUGUGGCAACUUCACCUCAGAUCCAAAGGAGAUUGAAUUUGAAGACACGACGCUGUUGGUCAUAGUGAUCUGUGGUGUGUCUGCUGUGGUGCUGAUCCUGGCCAUGGGUAUAGGCAUGAAGAUCAUGCUGAAGAAGGAAUUUGCAAAGACCAAGAACAGGAGGCAGCAGAAUGCUCAGAACCUACAGAGAACUACCACAACAGAGUAGUGUUUCAUUUUCUGCAAAUUCCACCAAAUGUCCUUCAUGCGAAAAUGGCAAAAAUCUGACAUGAUUACACUGUGAAUGGAGAAAUAUGUAGCUAACAAUUUAUAGUUGUAUUUGCUGCAAUUUAAUCAACAUAACACUGACGUUGAGAUAAUUUUAUGAUGGAAGAGCCACAGAUGCAUAUGUUAAUCCUCUGGCAGUGACACACAGCUAGUUUGGAGAUUUGUCCCAAUAAAUAAUAUGCCAAAUUCAUGAUAUUUAAUAAUAAACAUUUACAUGUGGAUGAUGUUUCUAUUUAUAUAAUGAAUGGGGCCUAACAUAAGUGUCCAGAGGCUGCGUGUAGCCUACACAUGAUAGUCAGCAGUUACAUUUAUAGAAGCCAGGUAAGUAGGCUAAGUGAUGUUUUCUAUUGGGUACUUUAUGUAGAGUAGCCUAAAAAUAGUAAAAUAAUAAAUAAAAUAGCUGCUAGCGUUGUGACGACGUCAAUAAUGAAUGACGCAAGAGUUGUCCAGUUCCUGCAGCUAUCCCCACUUCACAUUAGUGCAGCAUAGAACUCAUAUAUUACUGAGCCCGAGUAGCCGUCAUUUUUUUUCUCUGCCAUCUGGAAGGUGCUUGGUUGAGAAAUCUAUGGCUACUGACCAGAUCAACAUGCCUACAUUCUCAGCAAUCUACACACAAUACCCC